ACCCUGCUGACGGCCAGUGACCGGCAACCGAUAGCGAGAAUCGGGCAGGGU
rnacentral:sRNA from 12 species